GCUGGGCAUAGUGGUGUGUGCCUGUAGUUCCAGCUCCUGAGGAGGCUAAGGCAGGAGGAUCACUUGUGCCCAGGAGUUCGAGGCUGCAGUGAGACAUGUUUGUACCACUGCCCUCCAGCCUGGGCAACAGAGUAAGACCCUGUCUCUA
ensembl:misc_RNA Metazoa_SRP Metazoan signal recognition particle RNA